GAAGCUGAUGAAAAUGAAGAUUUACUCCUCGCGGAUACUUCUCGGUAAAACUUUCAUCUGUUACGGUGGGGAGAUAGAGAGAGAAAAUGAGAGGAGAGACUUCGGUCUCCUCGCAAACAACAAGCUGAUCGGGUACCGUGUCUUCGUGGGAAAGGAUGAUUUCCACGUGACUUUCGUUCCCAAGAAGAAACUCCCAUGGGCUGUGUACAAGGAAUACCUACGAUCCUGUUGAGAUGGGCUGCAAGUUUAUAAUACUGUGGGACGGUUUCAAAGAAACGCACAGUUCGACGACGUGCACCUACUUGGUGGCUGAUCUCAGCCUAAGGAGGUUGAAGGUACCGAGAGACAGAUUGACCUUUGCCUGAGUGUAACUUUGUCUGUGUCCCGGUGAGGACUGAGGAACCAAGAACUCCGAGUGUUGGGAACCGGAGAAAGGUGUAGAGCGAGGAACCCCUCUCUCUUGCUGUUUCACUGGCUGCUGGCUGGAUGGUUGGAUGGCUGGAUGGCUGGGUUAACUUACUUGUCUCACCAUAAGUUCAGGACUGCUCACAGUCAGCCCGUUAAUCACCCGUUUCCCAUAUACGUCAAAGCUGUCUACAGUUUCUGCUGAGGAUGCGCAACGCGCAAGGUAGAAGGUAUUAUAGGUGGCGACCCGAGGACCUACAUUCGCUAACACCGCAACAGGCGUAACGAGAGUUCAUUCGAGAAGACACUCACUUAGCCCCCCGUAUAGGCGGCACCACUUCAAUCGGCAAGACAUCUCACGAAGAAGAAGCCAGCAAGUGGGACCACGGAUCCUUGAGAUUAAAUACGUACCAAAGUUUCUUAGGAGAGAAACUGUCGUUCCUAAGCAUUGGAUUGUACUCUCUCGUAAAAUAUUUCCUGAAAGAAUACAAAAGCUUAGCAUUAAAAAUUUACCAAUCUAAUACCCACACAGAAUCCCGGGUGACAGCCACUCGUUAAUUUAUCAAUUACUGAACACACGUAUAAAUAGUAUUUUAAUGCUGUGUCUAUAAUAUAACAUUAUGAAUUAUAGUAAAUUAUGAAAUUAUAGGGUAGACG